CCUACGGGUGGCUGCAGUGAGGAAUAUUGGUCAAUGGCCGAGAGGCUGAACCAGCCAAGUCGCGUGAGGGAAGACGGCCCUACGGGUUGUACACCUCUUUUGUCGGGGAGCAAAGCGAACCACGUGUGGUUCAUUGAGAGUACCCGAAGAAAAAUCAUCGACUAACUCCGUGCCAGCAGCCGCGGUAAUACGGAGGAUGCGAGCGUUAUCCGGAUUUUUGGGGUUUAAAGGUUGCGCAGGCGGAGGUGCAAGUCAGCGGUCAAAUUGCGGGGCUCAACCCCGUACUGCCGUUGAAACUGCAUCCCUUGAGUGCGCGAGAAGUAUGCGGAAUGCGUGGUGUAGCGGUGAAAUGCAUAGAUAUCACGCAGAACUCCGAUUGCGAAGGCAGCAUACCGGCGCGCAACUGACGCUCAUGCACGAAAGCGUGGGUAUCGAACAGGAUUAGAUACCCGAGUAGUC
rnacentral:rRNA from 1 species